GGCGAAGGAAACGGCCGCCGGAGUUAGUCAUGGGGUUUUGCUUCUGAGUAGCAAUGGCAUGGAUAUUGUAUAUACGGGUGAUAGAAUUAUUUACAAGGUAAUUGAAGGGUUAAUUGAUUUGUAUUUCUUCGCCGGACCUUCGCCGGAAAUGGUGGUGGAUCAGUAUACUCAGCUUAUUGGUCGUCCUGCUGCUAUGCCAUAUUGGUCUUUCGGAUUUCACCAAUGCCGGUGGGGUUACAAGAAUAUUGAUGAUGUUGAACUGGUAGUGGAAAGUUAUGCAAAGGCUAGGAUACCGCUGGAGGUUAUGUGGACUGAUAUUGAUUACAUGGAUGGUUUUAAGGACUUCACACUCGAUCCAGUUAACUUCCCACUGGAGCGGUUAAAUUUUUUUCUCAGGAAGCUUCAUCAGAAUGAUCAGAAAUAUGUACUAAUAGUAGAUCCAGGAAUUAGUAUCAACAAUACAUAUGACACCUAUAGGAGAGGCAUGGAAGCAGAUGUCUUCAUAAAACGCGAUAAUAUGCCCUACCAAGGGGUUGUUUGGCCAGGGAAUGUUUACUAUCCUGAUUUUCUAAAUCCAGCUACUGAAGUAUUUUGGAGAAAUGAAAUUGAGAAGUUCCAGGAUCUCGUACCUUUUGAUGGCCUGUGGCUUGACAUGAAUGAAUUGUCAAACUUCAUUACUUCCCCUCCUACACCAUCAUCCACCUUUGAUGACCCUCCGUACAAGAUAAACAACUCUGGCGAUCACUUGCCCAUCAACUAUAGAACAGUUCCAGCCACUUCAACACAUUUUGGUAAUACAAUAGAUUAUAAUGUCCAUAACCUUUAUGGAUUACUAGAAUCUAGAGCCACCUAUAGUGCUUUGGUUAAUGUCACUGGUAAAAGGCCAUUCAUUCUUGCAAGAUCAACUUUUCUUGGCUCUGGCAGAUAUACGUCACAUUGGACUGGAGAC
rnacentral:misc_RNA from 1 species